UGGGGAAUUUUGGACAAUGGGGGAAACCCUGAUCCAGCCAUCCCGCGUGUGCGAUGAAGGCCUUCGGGUUGUAAAGCACUUUUGGCAGGAAAGAAACGUCAUGGGUUAAUACCCCGUGAAACUGACGGUACCUGCAGAAUAAGCACCGGCUAACUACGUGCCAGCAGCCGCGGUAAUACGUAGGGUGCAAGCGUUAAUCGGAAUUACUGGGCGUAAAGCGUGCGCAGGCGGUUCGGAAAGAAAGAUGUGAAAUCCCAGAGCGUAACUUUGGAACUGCAUUUUUAACUACCGGGCUAGAGUGUGUCAGAGGGAGGUGGAAUUCCGCGUGUAGCAGUGAAAUGCGUAGAUAUGCGGAGGAACACCGAUGGCGAAGGCAGCCUCCUGGGAUAACACUGACGCUCAUGCACGAAAGCGUGGGGAGCAAACA
rnacentral:rRNA from 1 species